UACGUAGGUGGCAAGCGUUGUCCGGAUUUACUGGGCGUAAAGAGCGCGCAGGCGGUCGUUCAAGUCGCGUGUGAAAGCCCCCGGCUCAACUGGGGAGGGUCACGCGAUACUGAUCGACUCGAAGGCAGGAGAGGGUAGUGGAAUUCCCGGUGUAGUGGAGAAAUGCGUAGAUAUCGGGAGGAACACCAGUGGCGAAGGCGACUACCUGGCCUGUUCUUGACGCUGAGGCGCGAAAGCUAGGGGAGCAAACGGG
rnacentral:rRNA from 1 species